rnacentral:rRNA from 1 species
UACGGAGGAUGCGAGCGUUGUCCGGAUUUAUUGGGUUUAAAGGGUGCGUAGGCGGUUGUAUAAGUCGGCGGUAAAAUUCGGUAGCUCAACUAUCGGUCUGCCGUCGAUACUGUACGGCUUGAGUGUUUGUGAGGUGGGCGGAAUUGGUAGUGUAGCGGUGAAAUGCAUAGAUAUUACCAGGAACACCGAUUGCGGAGGCAGCUCACUGACAGACGACUGACGCUGAGGCACGAGAGCGUGGGGAGCAAACCGG